GCCCCCGUUGUCUAAUGGCUAUGACGUCAGACUUCUAGGGCCUAAUUCCCUUCAUCUGGAGGUUGCGGGUUCGAGUCCCGCCGGGGGUU
rnacentral:tRNA from 1 species